UGGGGGAAUAUUGCACAAUGGGCGGAAGCCUGAUGCAGCAACGCCGCGUGAGUGAUGAAGGCCUUCGGGUUGUAAAGCUCUGUCUUUUGGGACGAUAAUGACGGUACCAAAGGAGGAAGCCACGGCUAACUACGUGCCAGCAGCCGCGGUAAUACGUAGGUGGCAAGCGUUGUCCGGAUUUACUGGGCGUAAAGGAUGCGUAGGCGGAUUUUUAAGUGAGAUGUGAAAUACCCGGGCUUAACUUGGGUGCUGCAUUUCAAACUGGGAAUCUAGAGUGCGGGAGAGGAGAAUGGAAUUCCGUAGUGUAGCGGUGAAAUGCGUAGAGAUUAGGAAGAACACCAGUGGCGAAGGCGAUUCUCUGGACCGUAACUGACGCUGAGGCAUGAAAGCGUGGGUAGCAAA
rnacentral:rRNA from 1 species